rnacentral:rRNA from 1 species
AGAGUUUGAUCCUGGCUCAGAACGAACGUUGGCGGCGUGGAUUAGGCAUGCAAGUCGAACGCGAAAGAGGUAGCAAUACCUCGAGUAAAGUGGCGAACGGGUGAGUAACGCGUAGGAAACCUGCCUUCGAGUGGGGGAUAACAUUCCUAACGGGAUGCUAAUACCGCAUGUGACUACGGAGUCGCAUGGCUCUGUAGUGAAAGGUGGCCUCUGUUUACAAGCUACCGCUCAAAGAUGGUCCUGCGUCCCAUUAGCUAGUUGGUGGGGUAACGGCCUACCAAGGCGACGAUGGGUAGCCGAUCUGAGAGGAUGACCGGCCACACUGGGACUGAGAUGCGGCCCAGACUCCUACGGGAGGCAGCAGUCGAGAGGCUUCGGCAAUGGGGGAAACCCUGACCGAGCGACGCCGCGUGGAGGAUGAAGGCCUUUGGGUUGUAAACUCCUGUCAUGAGGGAAGAAACGUCACCGUUCGAAUAGGGCGGUGACUUGACGGUACCUCAAGAGGAAGCUCCGGCUAACUCCGUGCCAGCCGCCGCGGUAAUAC